rnacentral:rRNA from 1 species
AGAUUGAACGCUGGCGGCAGGCCUAACACAUGCAAGUCGAGCGGUAACAGGGGUAGCUUGCUACCCGCUGACGAGCGGCGGACGGGUGAGUAACGCGUAGGAAUCUACCCGGUAGUUGGGGAUAGCCCGGAGAAAUCCGGAUUAAUACCGAAUAAUCUCUACGGAGGAAAGGGGGCUUCGGCUCUCGCUACUGGAUGAGCCUGCGUCGGAUUAGCUAGUUGGUGGGGUAAAGGCCUACCAAGGCGACGAUCCGUAGCUGGUCUGAGAGGAUGAUCAGCCACACUGGGACUGAGACACGGCCCAGACUCCUACGGGAGGCAGCAGUGGGGAAUAUUGGACAAUGGGGGCAACCCUGAUCCAGCCAUGCCGCGUGUGUGAAGAAGGCCUUCGGGUUGUAAAGCACUUUCAGUGGGAGGAAGGGUGAGUGGUUAAUACCCAUCAUCAUUGACGUCACCCACAGAAGAAGCACCGGCUAACUCCGUGCUAGCAGCCGCGUAA